UGGAUGCAGAGAAGAUGCUCAAUAAAUGAUCGUUGAAUGUAUGCACCUCUUGACAGAGACUUGAGUAGGAAGCAAUAGUGUUGAGAUCGUGCAUAUUGGUAAAUGGUGCCAAGUGAAUUUUUAAAAGACCUGUUUAUUCACAGUAAAAGUAUCUUGUAGAAGGUUAGAAAAUAUAAAUAACAGCAACAGCAACACCAAGCCUGGAGGGAUGUUUACUCCUGGCCCUCAAUCUGAUCGUCCCAUUGUGUAGUCGGCUGCUCUGGUGUCUCUGCAGAGCUCACGGCCUCCACUUCCUUUUCUAGUGUGGGCACACCUGCUGCUUCUAACACUACCCUUCCCAUACUUCUCACUUUGUUGGUUUCAGUUUUCGGUGGAAGAAUACAUCUGAAAUAAUUAAAUUUGAUCAUUUCAUUUCAGAAUAAAAUCAUAUGUUCAAGACGA